rnacentral:misc_RNA from 1 species
AAGUCGUAACAAGGUUUCCGUAGGUGAACCUGCGGAAGGAUGAUUAACACGUAUCCAAACGUAAAAAACCCCCCCCGUGAACAUUCAAUCCUGCUCUUGGAACCCGCGUAGUUCGCAAUCUCUGGUAAAUCAUAGCCCGAUUAAACUGUGGGGUUAUAAGGGGGCAUGGGGACCCUUUGGCAUAGCUCCUGCCCGAGUGUACGGUCUACAGGAAUCGUUGAAGCGCUAUCCUUGCACAAUCAGUGACACUUUCAGACACUAACUGCUUGGGGAAACAAUGCCUAUGAAACUACCGCUCGAUUGUACUUUCGUGAAGCUCAAUGUAAUACAUUGGGUAAAAAAACCGAACAACCGUUAACAAUGCAUAUCUUGGUUCUC